rnacentral:rRNA from 1 species
CGGAUAGAGCUAGCGAAGCCGCUCGUAUUCAGCCAACAGCCCUGGGUCGCCUGUGGUAGCGUUUCUAAUCGAGCGCGGCUGCGGGUUUGAUCUGGGGCCGAGGUGCACUUGCGGGCGAUUGCGCCGAGACUUGCGGGGCAGCUGCUGGACGCGCGUGAAGAGGCUUCCCUUUGGGUUGAACCUGCUCGCGUUGACAGUUGUUUGCCUUGCUCGUAGAGGUCUGGCCUACGGACCCGGGACGUGUCGUCGUCUGGCCUCGCUGGUAUCGCAUGCGAUGCCUCGAGGUCGGGUGGCGGACCGGCCUGGUGUUCCCGGACCGGCUCUCGGUGUAAAAGCUGGUCAUCUCUCCGACCCGUCUUGAAACACGGACCAGGGAGUUUAGCGUAUGCGCGAGUCAUUGGGUGUGAAACCCACAGGCGCAAUGAAAGUAAAGGCUCGGUCGCCGGGCUGACAUGUGAGUGCCGAGGCCUCGGCCGAGGCACGCAGCAUGGUCCCGUUGUGGUCGCUUGCGACGCAGCGGAGACAGAGCGUAUGCGCUGAG